AUGCAAGUCGAACGGUAACAGGAAGCAGCUUGCUGUUUUGCUGACGAGUGGCGGACGGGUGAGUAAUGUCUGGGAAACUGCCUGAUGGAGGGGGAUAACUACUGGAAACGGUAGCUAAUACCGCAUAACGUCGCAAGACCAAAGAGGGGGACCUUAGGGCCUCUUGCCAUCGGAUGUGCCCAGAUGGGAUUAGCUAGUAGGUGGGGUAACGGCUCACCUAGGCGACGAUCCCUAGCUGGUCUGAGAGGAUGACCAGCCACACUGGAACUGAGACACGGUCCAGACUCCUACG
rnacentral:rRNA from 1 species